rnacentral:rRNA from 1 species
GGUAGCAUAAUCAUUAGUCUCUUAAUUAGAGGCUUGUAUGAAUGGUCGGACAAGAUGGAAACUGUCUCAAUAUAAAUAGUAAAAUUUAAUAUUUAAGUAAAAAAGCUUAAAUAAUAUAGAGGGACGAUAAGACCCUAUAAAGCUUUAUGGUAGUUUCUUUUUAUAUAGAUUGGUAAAAUUUAAUUUAUUAAAAGAAAAAUAUCAUUCUACUGGGGCGGUAAAAGUAUAUCUUUGGUUAACUGCUUUUGUUUUGUAAGUCAAUAAUAGUUGAAAUAUUAAUUGAUCCAUUAUUAAUGAUCAUAAGAACAAGUUACUUUAGGGAUAACAGCGUAAUUUUUCUUGAGAGUUCUUAUCGAAAGAAAAGUUUGCGACCUCGAUGUUGAAUUAAGGAAGCCUUAAGGUGUAGCAGUUUUAUAGGCAGAUCUGUUCGAUCUUUAAAUCUUUACAUGAUUUG